GAUAGCAGUCAGUGUUUAUUAUCUUCCUUAGAGAUGUAUCACCAAGAAGAAAAUUUGCCAUCUCGUGGUAUUUGUACAUACGUGAAAUCUAUUUUUUUAUUUUAUUGUGAAGUGUGAGAAACAUAAAUUACUCAUACGCAACAGAAUGCGGACUUCCUGCAAUUGUUUUUGUCUUUUUAAAAAUGCACAAGAAAGUGUAAAUAAAACCAUUUGAUUACUUAAGAAUUUUCUGACAAGCUUGUUCCACCCACUUGUUAUAAAUUUGCUGCAGCUGCCUCUAACGCCUCCAGAUGGCGCGCUGGUGCUCGUUCUCGGCUCUCAGCGACCGGCCAAUUGCCAGCUGCUGGGGAGAAUGAGCUUGGAGCCGCAGGGCUUAAUCCCGCGCGGCUCAGAGAUGGGUUUCUGGACUCGCGAAGCAGCUGCAACAAGGCAUCACUCACUGUACAAGUAUUUCCAUUUCUGAGAGCAAAAGGAAGAACUUAAGCGGGCGGCACUUGGAGUGUAAAUUGCUUUGUAGUAUUUAAAGGCAGAAUGGAUCCUGGGCAGCCGAGCUGGUUGGAGUACAGUGGCAAGAUCUCAGCUCACUGCAACCUCACCUCUCAGGCUACGUGAUCCUCCUAUCUCAGCCUCCUGAGUAGCUGGGACCACAGGUACAUUUGGAUACUAAAUCUUUCAUAAUUACUGAAGGAACAUGACUGGUCCUAAAAUGCAAGUGGGCAUAAACAGGGAACGAAAUGACAGGAAAAAGAUUCCAUCUGUACUCUUGAUGAAGGAUAUGGGCUCAAGAGAUAUUUCAAAAGCAACAGCUGAAGGAAUACCACUAAGAUAAUUUUUUCCAGAAUCCCCCCCAUGCCAGUAAUGGAAAAACAAAAUGGAACAAAGGAAAAAUAAGGUUUUUAUCCACAACAUGGCAAUAAGAAAUGCUGGUGAGGAUGUGCAGAAACGGGAACCCUCAUACACUAUUGAUGAGAAGCUUUGGAUGUUUAAAAGUCUGCAGCACCUCCCACCUUGCCCUCUUCCUCAUUCUCCGGCCAUGAGAGAUGUUCUUGCUUCCCUUUCACCUUCUGCCAUAAUUGUACAUUUCCUGAGGCCUCCGCAGACAUGCUUCCUGUACAGCCUGCAAAACUGAAAGUUACAUAACAUGUCAAGAGUGAAGAAUGAGUUUGGAAAAGAUGCUCUUCAUGGGAUCCUCUUACUGUGAACCUUGAACAGUGUGCUUGAGCUGUUGGAAGCAGGCUGGAACAAUUGGAAAACACUGAAUUAGUGGGAGGUAAGGAAGGUAUCUGCAACUCCUGAAGUAAAAUGAACUUUUCUGCAGAGAAAAUCAGCUUAGUUACAACCCUCAAAGCUCAGACGUCAAUCCAUCCCCAAGCAGGACAAGUGUGGGUGAUAUAUGGAAAGGCUAUUUUAAAAUCUGCUUGAGCUUGCCAAUCUGGAGAUUUGCCCAGGAAAGAAAGCCUCGGAAAAAUCAAGAUGCAAACAAGCAAAUUUUAUCAAAUGUAUGCAGAACUUGAGAGUCACAAAAACUCAUUGGACAGAAUCCCAUUACUAAGAUUUUAUCAUUAAAAGUUACUAUGACAGAUAGGUAUUUUAACUCCCUUUUCUCUCAUGCCUAUUACAAUGACUUAAGAAGUAUGUGUAUUUGUUUUGUGCAAUAUCAUGAUGGAAAAAAUACUAUCCAAACAUGUCCUUAUAAAGCUAAUUCUGUUCUUUUGGACCGACCUGAAUCUUAAUCAUUUUAUGAAUAUGGCUAUGCUGUCAAAUAGAAGUGGUAGGGAUAGUUUUUUCCUAAAGUCAGAGUAUUUUAUUUUGAAUGCUUAAGAAAAAUCACAAAAGCCAAGUGCUACUUUCCUUUAAAAGAAAGGUUUGUUUAACAUCUUGAAUUAUGCAAAAUAUUUAAGUGACAUUAAAUGAUGAUGAAUAUUUUCUGCAAUAUCAAAAGAAUAUUUUUGUCAGUAAAGUGAUGCCAAUAUAUUGAGUGAAACACUCUGUAUUAACAAGACUAUUAAAGCUUAUUGGCUAUGUGUGUUAA